GAAGCAUGGGGAGCAUUUAUGACUUUUUCUUGCUUUUCUUUUUUUGCUCUUUUUCAUAUUCUUUCCAAUCGUCCAUCUCCU
rnacentral:ribozyme from 12 species